rnacentral:rRNA from 1 species
UACGGGGGGAGCAAGGCGUUGUUCGGAUUUACUGGGCGUAAAGGGCGCGUAGGCGGUCGUGACAAGUCACUUGUGAAAUCUCCGGGCUUAACUCGGAACGGUCAAGUGAUACUGUCGGACUAGAGUACAGAAGGGGGCAACUGGAAUUCUCGGGUGUAGCGGUGAAAUGCGUAGAUAUCGAGAGGAACACCUGCGGCGAAGGCGGGUUGCUGGGCUGAUACUGACGCUGAGGCGCGAAAGCCAGGGGAGCGAACGGG